UCCAUCAUUUUUCAGAUGUUGUACAACUACAGGCCACUUUCAAUCUCAGUCAAGUUGAGGGGUCAGUUGCACGAAUGGUAACUGUAAUUCAAACUGGUCACUGGAAAAAGUGCCGCUGUGUGGGAAUCAAUUGUAGUUUCUCCGGAAAAGAUGUUACAGCCAGUGUAUGAAGACUGAACUUUUGGUACGGUCAUAGGUGCUCUUGCAAAGACUGAUGGCCUGGCAGCAUAAACUAUUCUAUGGCAGCUGAGCGUGCAGGUCAGAACGUGCUAGAUGCCCUCACUGUCAUGACAGAGGAAGCUGGCGGCCUCGAGUCCUCGACAAGAUUGAGGGAUUACAGAACCAGGAGAACGAGACUGUGUACAGGGCAGCACUAGAACUCACUGGAAAAAUUACUUUGGUGGAGAUGUGUGGCAAGAAGUUUGAAAUCAAAGUCACAAGAAGUUUGAUGAUGGAAGUAACUGUGAUCAUUUAGUAUUUCCAGUGGUUCAGAGGAACAGAUUACACUCAGUUAAAACUAAAUGUGAUAUUAAUCUAUUUGUGAAUGAACGAGGACUUAAUGAGGAUAAAAUGUUAAGAAGACAAACCUGAUGCAGCAUUAAUUUUGUGACAGUAUCAGUGUAAUAUUUAACCAUGUAUAACUGUUUUUCAUUAUAAAUGCAGUAAAAGGUAAUACAAUGUUAAAACUGCUUUAUACUUUUUAUGCGAGGGAAUAUGUUGUAUACGGUCACUAUAGAGGUUUUUCCAUUUGAUGAAAUAAUAUUGUGGGUGAACCGGUAAAGAAUAUAUUGACCAAAUCUGUCAUGUUGACCAUAAUGUUUCGUGCAACCUUUAUUGUACAAAAAGUAGAUUUGUUAUAGCACCAAAUAAUAGUGAGAUUGGAAGGCCAGUGUGCAAACCACUGAGCUAUCCGCCCACUACCAUUAGAUAUAUUAAGGCAAAAACCGUCAUCUCGGCGCAAAAACUGUAUGCAUGUUUGUGCUUUACUUCAAUGAGCCCACAUUUGGCGCUGAGGUGACAUUCUAAUUCCAAUAAAAAAACUAAUACCUACUCAUCGGUUACACUACUUAUUUACGUUGCUUACAGUUAAGCAUGAUAAAAAAUAUGGAAUAAAAAUCUUGAUAAAAUUUGUUGUACAUACG